rnacentral:misc_RNA from 1 species
AAAGUCGUAACAAGGUUUCCGUAGGUGAACCUGCGGAAGGAUCAUUAUUAUUCGGUAGUUUACUAUCGUUUGAAAGGGGUGGAAACUUUGCUGGCAACCCCAGGAAAGAGUACACCUUUUUUCUUAACCCUUGACUUUUUGCGCACUUAUGUUUCCUCGGCAGGCCUGCCUGCCGGAUGGACAAAACUAUAACCUUUUUUACUAUUCAAUCAGCGUCUGAACAAUUAUAAUAAUUACAACUUUCAACAACGGAUCUCUUGGUUCUG